CUACGGGAGGCAGCAGUGGGGAAUAUUGCACAAUAGGCGCAAGCCUGAUGCAGCCAUGCCGCGUGUAUGAAGAAGGCCUUCGGGUUGUAAAGUACUUUCAGCGGGGAGGAAGGGAGUAAAGUUAAUACCUUUGCUCAUUGACGUUACCCGCAGAAGAAGCACCGGCUAACUCCGUGCCAACGCCGCGGUAAUACGGAGGGUGCAAGCGUUAAUCGGAAUUACUGGGCGUAAAGCGGACGCAGGCGGUUUGUUAAGUCAGAUGUGAAAUCCCCGGGCUCAACCUGGGAACUGCAUCUGAUACUGGCAAGCUUGAGUCUCGUAGAGGGGGGUAGAAUUCCAGGUGUAGCGGUGAAAUGCGUAGAGAUCUGGAGGAAUACCGGUGGCGAAGGCGGCCCCCUGGACGAAGACUGACGCUCAGGUGCGAAAGCGUGGGGAGCAAACAGGAUUAGAUACCCUAGUAGUC
rnacentral:rRNA from 1 species